rnacentral:rRNA from 1 species
GAAUUCACUAGUGAAAAAGACCUAACACAUGCAAGUCGAACGCCCCGCAAGGGGAGUGGCAGACGGGUGAGUAACACGUGGGAACGUACCCUUUGGUUCGGAAUAACUUGGGGAAACUCAAGCUAAUACCGGAUAAGCCCUUUUGGGGAAAGGUUUACCGCCGAAGGAUCGGCCCGCGUCUGAUUAGCUAGUUGGUGAGGUAACGGCUCACCAAGGCGACGAUCAGUAGCUGGUCUGAGGGGAUGAUCAGCCACACUGGGACUGAGACACGGCCCAGACUCCUACGGGAGGCAGCAGUGGGGAAUUUU